rnacentral:lncRNA from 1 species
UUGCAGAAUGCCGCCGAGAAGCCGCCCUUGUUCUUGCCAAGCUGGGCGGCGAUGUACGCGGUGAACGCCUUCGUGGUGGGGUGGGUGCUCGUGGUCGGCUUCGGGAUCGGCGGGUGGGCCAGCAUGACCAACUUCAUCAACCAGGUCGACACCUUCGGGCUCUUCGCCAAGUGCUACCAGUGCCCCAAGCCACAGCCACCCCCUGCGCCCGCACCACAGCAGCAUCACUGAACCACCUGCCUCUCGCACACACCUUGAAACCUGCUCCAUAGAACAAAGCUGUUAGUCGACCUUUGG